UCAUGACCUGAGCUGAAAUCAAGAGUCGGAUGCUCAACCGGCCGAGCCACGCAGGCACCCAGGGAAAGAGUUUUCUAUUAUUUACACUCUUGUGUGGCGUCAAAAGCCCGAAUGUGCGUUAUCUCAUGUAGUCCCCAGUGAUGAAGCUGUGACACAGAAGUCACCCGGCUGGAACAGGGAACGUGGGGUUCUGUGUAGGCAGAAGGGGGACCUGGCCGUGGUGGGGAAGGGUGGGCGCGCCUGGAGCACUUUCCGCCACGGGGACGCCCAGAGGACCGGCGCGGAGUUGUCCUUAGGCCGGGAGGUGGCUGUGUUUGCGCGGUGUGGGAGGCGGGAGGGUGCAGGAGAAAUUCAAAUCCACUUGACCAUCUUCUAGCGAAGACGUUUCGCAAAAGUCCAAACGGCCUGGGAGCGCAGGGAAACCCCUGUCUGACCCACCGGCUCCGGCGUCCUGGUUCCUCUGGCUCUGAACCUUUCACGACACCCGGCUUGGAUUCGGAUGCCCUGCCCGGCCCUUUCCCCUUUCUCCUAGUCACGCAAAGUCCAGGCUGAGGCUGGGCCCUCCCCUCUCUGCACCACCCGGGGCCAGAGUCAGAGCGACUGACCUGGGGCUGCGACCCUGGGCUGUGGGACAAGGUCCUUGCACUAGCAGGGGUGAGGCUGCCCUGGGGCAAGGGCCAUCCUGUGCGGGUAAUUGAGGACCCAGCGGGGAGCCGACACCCUGGUCACUGAUGAGUGGACCGAGGUGUGGAGUGUUUACUGGCUGGACCUUGGGUCAAAGGUAAUAAUAAUCACAACAGCAACAACAACAACAUAGGGUGUAUGUGUUUAACUCUUUGCCCCAUUCAAAGUCCUGUCCUGCCUCACCUCCCCAGACCAGCCUUAGUGUGGACCCAAGUCCCUAGGUCGCUUCUGAGUCUUGCUGAUUUAGACAAACAACCAUGAUUUUCUCCAGACUAGAUUAAAUGCCACCCGGGCCACGUAAGAUUCACUGUCUUCCUGUGUGUCCUGUAUUUUCUCUGAUACUUUAUAUAGAGAGUCAUUUUAUGUAAUCCUUUCAGCAACCCUGUGAGGAAACUUCUUGGCCCCAUUUUACAGAGCAGCCGGUGGAGGUUCCGUGAUGUUAUUAACGUACGCAGAGUCCCAGAGCCAGGAAGGCUACGAAGCAGGUUUCAAACCCAGGUUUGCUGGACUCCAAACCCCAUACUCACCCUACCCCUGUUAAUGCUUCAGGGAGCCUUUCUGGGCCAGUGACUGGAAAAAGGCAGGGCUUUUUGCUAGAAUUUUCCUAGGGACCCAGAACAGAAAUACGCCACCAACGUUAUGGUUUCUGCUAGGAAGCGGUGCUCAAUGAGGUGCUGAGGCUGUCUGUUGAUACACGCAGGGAAGCAAACAUUUUUUUUUCUUUACCGUGUGUUUUGUUUUCCAUAGAGAGCAUUCUUUUUCUGACAGCCCCUUUCUUUCCAAAGUUUAGAACAGCAGCAUAUGCUCGCUAGAAGAGAGUAAAGGUUUCAGCAAAGCAAAGUUUUUGGCUGCCCCGCCCCUUUGCAGUUCAAAUAUCAUUCGAAACAUCUGUUUCUAUUCUGUUUGCCUUUUGGAGAAAAUCAAGGGGAGAUAUAAAUAAGAAGCAAAAAUGCUUUCCUGAACCAAAAAGCCCAGUACCUGGCCAUCUGAAAAGAUUUUGUUUGUUGAGACAUUGCUGGAAUGAUAGAACACUUGUACAAACAUCAAUGAUUAAGAUUUAGCUAAUAAAACCCCCCGAAAAGUCAGAGGUGAACUAUUAAACACUACAGUGGGAGCUUUUUUUUCCCAGUGGAUUCUGAACUGUUUUUGAAAACCAAGCACUUGGUGGGAACACAAUUUACAAGAUGGUAACAAAGUUUCCACAGAUGAAGAAAGUUUAGAGUUUAUUCUGGAUCUCCACCUGUGGCGAGGGAAAAAAAAAAAAACAAAACGCCCAAAGAGAGCAAAAGAACAUCUUUGUGGA